AUACGGAGGGUGCGAGCGUUAAUCGGAAUUACUGGGCGUAAAGCGUACGUAGGCGGUUGGUUAAGUUAGAUGUGAAAGCCCCGGGCUUAACCUGGGAACUGCAUUUAAAACUGGCGAACUAGAGUUGAGUAGAGGGGAGUGGAAUUUCAGGUGUAGCGGUGAAAUGCGUAGAGGUCUGAAGGAACACCAGUGGCGAAGGCGACUCCCUGGACUCGAACUGACGCUGAGGUACGAAAGCGUGGGUAGCAAACGGGAUUAGAAACCCCAGUAGUCC
rnacentral:rRNA from 1 species